CAGCAGCCGCGGGAAUACGUAGGCGGCAAGCGUUGUCCGAAAUUAUUGGGCGUAAAGGGCUCGCAGGCGGUUUCUUAAGUCUGAUGUGAAAGCCCCCGGCUCAACCGGGGAGGGUCACUGGAAACUGGGAAACUUGAGUGCAGAAGAGGAGAGUGGAAUUCCACGUGUAGCGGUGAAAUGCGUAGAGAUGUGGAGGAACACCAGUGGCGAAGGCGACUCUCUGGUCUGUAACUGACGCUGAGGAGCGAAAGCGUGGGGAGCGAACAGGAUUAGAUACCCGUGUAGUCCCUGUCUCUUAUAC
rnacentral:rRNA from 1 species